GACGAACGCUGGCGGCGUGCUUAACACAUGCAAGUCGAACGGAAAGGCCCUGCUUUUGUGGGGUGCUCGAGUGGCGAACGGGUGAGUAACACGUGAGUAACCUGCCCUUGACUUUGGGAUAACUUCAGGAAACUGGGGCUAAUACCGGAUAGAAGCUCCUGCUGCAUGGUGGGGGUUGGAAAGUUUCGGCGGUUGGGGAUGGACUCGCGGCUUAUCAGCUUGUUGGUGGGGUAGUGGCUUACCAAGGCUUUGACGGGUAGCCGGCCUGAGAGGGUGACCGGCCACAUUGGGACUGAGAUACGGCCCAGACUCCUACGGGAGGCAGCAGUGGGGAAUAUUGCACAAUGGGCGGAAGCCUGAUGCAGCAACGCCGCGUGCGGGAUGACGGCCUUCGGGUUGAAAACCGCUUUCGCCUGUGACGAAGCGUGAGUGACGGUAAUGGGUAAAGAAGCACCGGCUAACUACGUG
rnacentral:rRNA from 1 species